AGGAAUAUUGGUCAAUGGACGAGAGUCUGAACCAGCCAAGUAGCGUGAAGGAUGACUGCCCUAUGGGUUGUAAACUUCUUUUAUAUGGGAAUAAAGUGCAGUAUGUAUACUGUUUUGUAUGUACCAUACGAAUAAGGAUCGGCUAACUCCGUGCCAGCAGCCGCGGUAAUACGGAGGAUCCAAGCGUUAUCCGGAUUUAUUGGGUUUAAAGGGAGCGUAGGCGGAUUAUUAAGUCAGUUGUGAAAGUUUGCGGCUCAACCGUAAAAUUGCAGUUGAUACUGGUAGUCUUGAGUGCAGCAGAGGUAGGCGGAAUUCGUGGUGUAGCGGUGAAAUGCUUAGAUACCACGAAGAACUCCGAUUGCGAAGGCAGCUUACUGGACUGUAACUGACGCUGAUGCUCGAAAGUGUGGGUAUCAAACAGG
rnacentral:rRNA from 1 species